UCCUCCGUGGCGCAAUUGGCUAGCGCGUCUGACUGUUAUCCAUGCAAUGGUAGCUCCAUCAGGAGGUUGAAAGUUCGAGCCUUUCCGGGGGAG